CCGUGGUUAGCUCAGUUUGAAGAGCACUCCACCUGUAAUGGAGAGGUCCCGGGUUCGAUACCCGGACCAGGCG
rfam:Ixodes scapularis strain Wikel colony gcontig_1107729013002, whole genome shotgun sequence.